AUUGCUAUAAAGAGAAAAUAAAGUUGAAAUUGUUCAGGUUGAAAAAUCGAGGUGAAAAAUGAAGUUCCUUUCGAUAGUUUUAAUUUCAUUCGCCCUUAUGGGUUUGGCGAUGGGAAACCUAUUCAGAUUGGAAGGCUACCCAAAUUGUAAAUGCGUAUGCAGCAAGUUGCCGCCGGUUAGAGAAACAGUGUGUUCGUUAUUGUGCGGCAGAGGAUCGAUCAUACCGAGAUUGCCAACCAUCAAGACGUUCUGCAGGGCUAGACACCACUGUCAACCGCACUGCUAUCCACAAUGCUCCACCCGUCAACCACAACAUCCUAACUGUAACGAAAACGUACAAUGGUGGCAGUGAUAGUAAUGAAUCUCCAAUACUAAAUGAACCUUUAAUGAAUUUAAUCUUGGCUUAUUGUUGUAAAAAUUAUUGAACUUAAUAUAUUUACAAUUCCUGUGACGA